rnacentral:rRNA from 1 species
AAAGCCUGAUCCAGCCAUGCCGCGUGUGUGAAGAAGGUCUUCGGAUUGUAAAGCACUUUAAGUUGGGAGGAAGGGUUGUAGAUUAAUACUCUGCAAUUUUGACGUUACCGACAGAAUAAGCACCGGCUAACUUCGUGCCAGCAGCCGCGGUAAUACGAAGGGGGCUAGCGUUGUUCGGAAUUACUGGGCGUAAAGCGCACGUAGGCUGACUUUUAAGUCAGGGGUGAAAUCCCGGGGCUCAACCUCGGAACUGCCUUUGAUACUGGAAGUCUUGAGUCCGAGAGAGGUGAGUGGAACUCCGAGUGUAGAGGUGAAAUUCGUAGAUAUUCGGAAGAACACCAGUGGCGAAGGCGGCUCACUGGCUCGGUACUGACGCUGAGGUGCGAAAGCGUGGGGAGCAAACA